rnacentral:rRNA from 1 species
GCAGUCGAACGAUGAUCCAGGAGCUUGCUCUUGGGGAUUAGUGGCGAACGGGUGAGUAACACGUGAGCAAUCUGCCCUUCACUCUGGGAUAACCUCCGGAAACGGAAGCUAAUACCGGAUAUGACGCACGGAGGCAUCUCCUGUGCGUGGAAAGAACUUCGGUGAAGGAUGAGCUCGCGGCCUAUCAGGUAGUUGGUGAGGUAACGGCCCACCAAGCCUACGACGGGUAGCCGGCCUGAGAGGGUGACCGGCCACACUGGGACUGAGACACGGCCCAGACUCCUACGGGAGGCAGCAGUGGGGAAUAUUGCACAAUGGGCGCAAGCCUGAUGCAGCAACGCCGCGUGAGGGACGACGGCCUUCGGGUUGUAAACCUCUUUUAGUAGGGAAGAAGCGAAAGUGACGGUACCUGCAGAAAAAGCACCGGCUAACUACGUGCCAGCAGCCGCGGUAAUACGUAGGGUGCAAGCGUUGUCCGGAAUUAUUGGGCGUAAAGAGCUCGUAGGCGGUUUGUCGCGUCUGCUGUGAAAACCCGAGGCUCAACCUCGGGCCUGCAGUGGGUACGGGCAGACUAGAGUGCGGUAGGGGAGAAUGGAAUUCCUGGUGUAGCGGUGGAAUGCGCAGAUAUCAGGAGGAACACCGAUGGCGAAGGCAGUUCUCUGGGCCGUAACUGACGCUGAGGAGCGAAAGCGUGGGGAGCGAACAGGAUUAGAUACCCUGGUAGUCCACGCCGUAAACGUUGGGCGCUAGAUGUGGGGACCAUUCCACGGUUUCCGUGUCGCAGCUAACGCAUUAAGCGCCCCGCCUGGGGAGUACGGCCGCAAGGUA